AUGUUACCCAUUCUUCUCUGUUUGUCCUCAGAAUGUCCCACUGAUUGGAAGAUGUUCAAUGGUCGCUGUUUCCUUUUUAAUCCAUUACAAUUGCAUUGGGCUGACGCUCAGGAAAGCUGUAUGAAGGAGGGGGCAAACCUUGCAUCCAUUCACAGUCUUGAAGAGUCUACAUUUAUUAAGGAGCUGACAUCUGCAGACUUAAUCCCAUCAUGGAUUGGAGGCACAGAUUGCCAAGUGUCAACCCGUUGGUUUUGGAUGGAUAGUACAAGUAUGGAUUAUGCUGACUGGUGCGCUGCACAACCUGAUACUACCUUAACUGAGUGCUGCAUACAGAUGAAUGUUGGAAUUGGAAAAUGCUGGAAUGACACACCUUGUACGCAUCUUCAUUCAUCAAUCUGCGCCAAGCCACUGAAAUGAUUC